rnacentral:RNase_P_RNA from 1 species
GGAACGGGCCGGAGAUGAUCGCUGUUUCCCUCGGGAUUCAGAGGAAAGUCCGGACACCGCACGGCAGCAUGCCCGGUGAAAGCCGGGGCAUUUCGUUGUAAUGACGGGGUGACGGAAAGUGUCGCAGAAAAGAUACCGCCUGAUUCUUCCUUCGGGAGGAAGCGGGUAAGGGUGAAAUGGCGAGGUAAGAGCUCACCGCCCCGAGGGUGACCGAGGGGGCAGGAUAAACCCCAUGCGGUGCAAGACAUAACAGGGCAAACGGGCAGCCGGUCCGGUUUUGCGGCUUCGGUCGCAGAAUGUGCCCGGGUAUUAGUCGCACCCUGCUUCGGCAGGGAGGAGUCACUUCUCAGGAAGGGGCGCCUAGAUAAAUGAUCGUCCGCCGGGUUCGACUACGGGCCGGGCGAACAGAAUCCGGCUUACGGCGGCCCGUUCCAUUU